rnacentral:rRNA from 1 species
GUAGGGAAUAUUGCGCAAUGGACGAAAGUCUGACGCAGCGACGCCGCGUGAGUGAUGAAGGCCUUAGGGUCGUAAAGCUCUGUUGAAUGGGAAGAAAAAAAUGACGGUACCAUUCGAGGAAGGACCGGCUAACUUCGUGCCAGCAGCCGCGGUAAUACGAGGGGUCCUAGCGUUGUUCGGAAUCAUUGGGCUUAAAGGGUGUGUAGGUGGCCAUGUAAGUCAGGUGUGAAAGCCCCGGGCUCAACCCGGGAAGUGCACUUGAUACUGCGUGGCUUGAGUACCGAAGAGGGUAGUGGAAUUCCAGGUGUAGUGGUGAAAUACGUAGAUAUCUGGAGGAACACCGGUGGCGAAGGCGGCUACCUGGUCGAGUACUGACACUGAGACACGAAAGCAUGGGGAUCAAACAGGAUUAGAUACCCGAGUAGUCC